GAUGAACGCUGGCGGCGUGCUUAACACAUGCAAGUCGAACGGGAAACCUUUUAUUGAAGCUUCCGCAGAUUUCGCUGGUUUCUAUUGGCGGACGGGUGAGUAACGCGUGGGUAACCUGCCUUAUACAGGGGGAUAACAACCAGAAAUGGUUGCUAAUACCGCAUAAGCGCACAGGACCGCAUGUUCCGGUGUGAACAACUCCGGUGGUAUAAGAUGGACCCGCGUUGGAUUAGCUAGUUGGCAGGGUAACGGCCUACCAAGGCGACGAUCCAUAGCCGGCCGGAGAGGGGGAACGGCGACAUUGGGACUGAGACACGGCCCAGACUCGUACGGGAGGCAGCAGUGGGGAAUAUAGCACAAUGGGGGAAACGCUGAGGCAGCGACGCCGCGUGAAGGAAGAAGUAUCUCGGUAUGUAAACUUCUAUCAGCAGGGAAGAUAGUGACGGUACCUGACGAAGAAGCCCCGGCUAACUACGUG
rnacentral:rRNA from 1 species